GAGACUCCCUGUCCCGGACCGCAGAUUAUAGUGGGACCAGUCUCAUUAGGUUGAAUCUACAGCCUAUGUUGGUGUUAACCCAGGUCUCUUAGAGCGUUAAAAGGAUCUGAACAAAGUCUGCUCAAAUCUCCUGCUGUGAACCAGCAGAAUUUUUGAACAGAGACCACGUCUCCACCUCCUGGGCUCCAACGAUUCUCCCAUCUCGGCCUCCCAAAGCGCUGGAAUUACAGGUUUCUUCACAUAUAAAAAUCUAUUGUAAAAAUACGGAAAAGAAUGGCAGCGGAAACGCAGACACUGAACUUUGGGCCUGAAUGUCUCUUACAGAUGUGUUUGGACCCCGAAUAUGGAAUUCUCAUGGAAUUUUGAGAUCCAUCACAUUGUAGUGUGGCUUCCCCCCCUCCCCUCCUUCCUUUUUCCCCAAAGUUGGUGAUUGAAGAUCCUCUCUUCAGUGGCAUCAAUAAUAAUAAUUACUUUUUCUAUUCAAACCUCGGGCAACCCCUUUGGUAAUAUCAGAAGUAGUAUCUAAAAUAGAUAAAUUGGAUUUGUGUCUUAAACUCUUGGUUGUUCAGGUGGGAGU
rnacentral:sRNA from 1 species